UACGUAGGGCGCAAGCGUUAUCCGGAAUUAUUGGGCGUAAAGAGCUCGUAGGCGGUUUGUCGCGUCUGCUGUGAAAACCCGAGGCUCAACCCCCAGCCUGCAGUGGGUACGGGCAGACUAGAGUGCGGUAGGGGAGAUUGGAAUCCUGGUGUAGCGGUGGAAUGCGCAGAUAUCAGGAGGAACACCGAUGGCGAAGGCAGGUCUCUGGGCAUUAACUGACGCUGAGGAGCGAAAAGCAUGGGGGAGCGAACAGG
rnacentral:rRNA from 1 species